rnacentral:rRNA from 1 species
CGGGUGAGUAACGCGUGAGAAUCUGCCUUCAGGUCGGGGACAACCACUGGAAACGGUGGCUAAUACCGCAUGUGCCCUGCGGGGCAAAGGCUUCGGCCGCUUUGAGAGGGGCCCGCGUCCGAUUAGCUAGUUGGUGGGGUAACGGCCUACCAAGGCGACGAUCCGUAGCUGGUCUGAGAGGAUGAUCAGCCACACUGGGACUGAGACACGGCCCAGACUCCUACGGGAGGCAGCAGUGGGGAAUCUUGCGCAAUGGCCGAAAGGCUGACGCAGCGACGCCGCGUGCGGGAGGAAGGUCUUCGGAUCGUAAACCGCUGUCAGUGGGGAGGAACGGCCCCGGGAGGCAAUGCCCGGGGUUUGACAGUACCCGCAGAGGAAGCACCGGCUAACUCCGUGCCAGCAGCCGCGGUAAUACGGAGGGUGCAAGCGUUGUUCGGAAUUAUUGGGCGUAAAGCGCACGUAGGCGGCUGUUUAAGUCUCACUGUGAAAGCCUGCGGCUCAACCGCAGGAGGCCAGGGGAUACUGGACAGCUGGAGACAGGUAGAGGCGAGCGGAAUUCCGGGUGUAGCGGUGGAAUGCGUAGAGAUCCGGAAGAACACCAGAGGCGAAGGCGGCUCGCUGGACCUGUUCUGACGCUGAGGUGCGAAAGCGUGGGGAGCGAACAGGAUUAGAUACCCUGGUAGUCCACGCCGUAAACGAUGGGCACUAGGUGCUUCGGGGAGCGACCCUCGGGGUGCCGGCGCUAACGCAUUAAGUGCCCCGCCUGGGGAGUACGGCCGCAAGGCUGAAACUCAAAGGAAUUGACGGGGGCCCGCACAAGCGGUGGAGCAUGUGGUUUAAUUCGACGCAACGCGAAGAACCUUACCUGGGCUUGACAUGCAGGGGAAGCCGGGCAGAGACGUCCGGCGUCCUUCGGGACUCCUGCACAGGUGCUGCAUGGCUGUCGUCAGCUCGUGUCGUGAGAUGUUGGGUUAAGUCCCGCAACGAGCGCAACCCUCGUUCUAUGUUGCCAGCACGUCAUGGUGGGGACUCAUAGGAGACUGCCGGGGUCAACUCGGAGGAAGGUGGGGAUGACGUCAAAUCAUCAUGCCCCUUAUGUCUUGGGCUUCACGCAUGCUACAAUGGCCGGUACAAAGGGCUGCGAUACCGCGAGGUGGAGCGAAUCCCAAAAAGCCGGUCUCAGUUCGGAUUGGGGUCUGCAACUCGACCCCAUGAAGU